AACUCUCUGGGCUGUACGACUUCACUGGAUGUUGUCCUCGAGCCGAUGCGCACGACCAAAGGGAGCCGCUCCCUGGUGAUGUGAGCAAGUCCUCCACAGCAGAGGAAAGCCUGAUUCACUAUCAAGGGGCUCCCGCCUUGAACUACUGGGUUCAAGGGCACGAUCCGGUCCGGCAGCCCGGAGGGUUU
rnacentral:other from 2 species